CGCAUCAGCAAGCAGUUCAGGUUAAGAGUGUUAGUGUCAUGUGAGAUGAGGACCUUCAGGGGACAGGUCGGAUCCAGAGCAGAGGGUACUUCCUUUAUCGGCCACGAAAUGGAAGAAGAUCUGCUGAAUAUGUGUAAAACAAUAAAGAAUUUAAAGCUCAGUACCAACAGACCCUGUCCCUCAGAUGUGCUGAUCCAGAGUCAGACGGCCUGAAACACCAUGUCCCACUCAUUCCAGAGAACUUCCCCCAUUGAAUUGUGAUGUUAAAUGUACAGACAAAACCCAAAUAAGUAUUUUAUUAGACAAAAUGUCCUGUUUGUGCAACUGUGCUGUGCAUUUAGAAUUAAAAGCAUUAUAAAAUGUUUCCUCAUUGUGGCAGUGUGAUUUUGACCAAAUUACUUUUACUGUACAGCACUGUACUGUAUAUCUACAUUAUUA